AUUUGCAGUGUUAGCAAAUGUGUUUGCAGUAAUAGCAAACAGUCUUGCAGUGUUAGCAAGAGGCACAAUGAUAGCGUUGGGAGAUAGCAGUGGAGGAAUAUCAGCAGAAGGAAUUGGGAGAUUGUCGGGGUUCUGCCAAUGAGAGGCAAGGAAUUUUGUAUCUCUUAAUUUGCUGAAGUUUAAUAUAUGUCUCAUUUGCAAUACUGGUUUUCCCUUUGGGGUUUUUCCAAGGACAAUUUGUCCGAAAAUAUCGUGUUCACUGUGUUGAGUAUUUUAUGUGUUUUGUGGAGUUGUAGUUGUGUUAUUUUUCAAUAUUUGUUGAGAAGCAAAUAAUCUGUAUGAUAUAAGAGAUUAAUAAUCAGUAACUACAAUAGAAUUUCCACACCGAGCCCAUUCCACAUUCAUGAUGGGCACUCCGGCUUUUCUCAACACCCAGAGCCUUCUAUUGUCCAGACACCACAUCCGACCCAUCCUAUCAACCACAGUCAAGGGCAUGAAGACUCCGGGAUUCAACUGGUUGCUUCUAAUUUGAUCCACUGCGUCAUGUAUGCGCUGAUAAUCAUAAGGCUUUUCUAACCUAUUUUCAAUGGAGUCUUGGGUAAAUCUCAGGUUCUCUGGGUUAACAUAAGCCAUCGGCUGUGAUUAUUGAUCAAAACGACUAGAUCUCGCUUUAUAAUUUGACUGCAAUUUCUGUUUCUUUUUAUCGACCAAAUCAUCGCAAGGCACAGAUUGAGGGCAGCACAGAUCAGCGCUAGAGAGAGGGUUGAAGAUUGAGGGCAGCACAGAGACGGGCAGGCAGGCAGAGAGAGGGUUGGAGAUCGAGGGCAGCGCUUGUGAGUGUUUUAUUUUUGUUGCUAGCAGACGUGGGGACAGAGCAGCAGAGAGGCACCGGCUACCCAGGCAGCAAAAUGGCGUGGGUUAACAUCCCCAUCCAUUGCCGUGCCCCCAUGCGCCAUGCCAUGUCUGCCUGCAUAACCGUCCAUGGUACAGUGUACCGGUUGGAAUGUUUUUCGUUCACUAAGUCGUCAGAUCCAAGGAUAAUACUCGACGACAUCGAUUACCUUUCUCUAUUGAUCUAAACCAAGUGAUGACAUAUGAAAUACAAGUUAUAGAUGGUAAUUUAUUAGCUAUUCAAUAUUUUUAUUACUUUUUAAAAAAAUACUUAGUUCAUGUUUCUAACCAUUUUUUCAUUUCCAAUCAAACAAACAAGAUACGAGUUGUGGAGAUCAACCAUCAAUGCUAUCCAUGAUCAAACCCUUCAACAAAGUGUUGCAAUGUUAGAUGAUCCACAAAAAAAUCAAGAACAUAUGUUACCUAUUUUUGUUGAUCCUAAGUAGACAACGACAACAAUGGAUGCAAUGCAAGUUACAAAUAGUAAUGAAAUUAUGAAAGAAAUUUUCUUAAAUUUUGAGUCUUUAAUUUAUAAAUUAAUUGUAUAUA